ACGAAGUUUUUCGGAACUUAGUGGCGGACGGGUGAGUAACGCGUGAGAAUCUGCCUUAAGGAUUGGGACAACAGUGGGAAACCGCUGCUAAUACCAAAUAUGCCUUUUAGUGAAACGGGUAAAACCGCCUUAAGAUGAGCUCGCGUCUGAUUAGCUAGUAGGUGUGGUAAGAGCGCACCUAGGCGACGAUCAGUAGCUGGUCUGAGAGGACGACCAGCCACACUGGGACUGAGACACGGCCCAGACUCCUACGGGAGGCAGCAGUGAGGAAUUUUCCGCAAUGGGCGAAAGCCUGACGGAGCAAUACCGCGUGAGGGAGGAAGGUUCUUGGAUUGUAAACCUCUUUUCUCAGAGAAGAAUAAUGACGGUAUCUGAGGAAUAAGCAUCGGCUAACUCCGUGCCAGCAGCCGCGGUAAUACGGAGGAUGCAAGCGUUAUCCGGAAUGAUUGGGCGUAAAGGGUCUGUAGGUGGUUGUUCAAGUCUGCUGUUAAAGCGUCUGGCUUAACCAGAUAAAGGCGGUGGAAACUGAACGACUAGAGUGCGGUAGGGGUAGAGGGAAUUCCCAGUGUAGCGGUGAAAUGCGUAGAUCUUGGGAAGAACACCUGUGGCGAAAGCGCUCUACUGGACCGCGACUGACACUGAUGGACGAAAGCUAGGGGAGCGAAUGGGAUUAGAUACCCCAGUAGUCCUAGCCGUAAACGAUGGAUACUAGGCGU
rnacentral:rRNA from 1 species